GAUGAACGCUGACAGAAUGCUUAACACAUGCAAGUCUACUUGAACUUCGGUUUGGGUGGCGGACGGGUGAGUAACGCGUAAAGAACUUGCCUCACAGUUAGGGACAACAUUUGGAAACGAAUGCUAAUACCUGAUAUUAUGAUUUUAGGGCAUCCUAGGAUUAUGAAAGCUAUAUGUGCUGUGAGAGAGCUUUGCGUCCCAUUAGCUAGUUGGAGAGGUAACGGCUCACCAAGGCGAUGAUGGGUAGCCGGCCUGAGAGGGUGAACGGCCACAAGGGGACUGAGACACGGCCCUUACUCCUACGGGAGGCAGCAGAGGGGAAUAUUGGACAAUGGACCAAAAGUCUGAUCCAGCAAUUCUGUGUGCACGAUGACGUUUUUCGGAAUGUAAAGUGCUUUCAGUUGGGAAGAAAAAAAUGACGGUACCAACAGAAGAAGUGACGGCUAAAUACGUG
rnacentral:rRNA from 1 species